rnacentral:rRNA from 1 species
CGGCAACAGCUCAAAUUUGAAAUCUGGCCUUGGCCCGAGUUGUAAUUUGCAGAGGAUGCUUUUGGCGCGGCGUCUUCGGAGUUCCCUGGAACGGGACGCCAUAGAGGGUGAGAGCCCCGUAUCGUUGGACGCCCAGCCUCUGUAUAGCACCUUCGAC